AAAUAGAACUUUGCAGAGAGAGUUAACAGGGCGUGAAACCGUUAAUUGGCAAACGAAUCGGAGCCACGAAGUCGUUUCGUUGUUUAGUCUGGAUCAGGUUCAGCGGGGGUCGAGAGGCUCCCGUGUAAUCCUGGGUCUGGCCAAACCUUGUAAGCGUACACUGCAACCAGUUAGACGAUCAGCAGUGGGCACAGUGUUUGAGUUCAGCCAGCAAUGGACGGGCUCUUAUACGAAGCAAUUGUUUGAUUGGGUUAGUAGUAGCGCGGUUGUGCUUCGGUGCUUCUCGUGUUGCUGGGCCCUUUCAAGUGAACUACAGCUGAAUACUGACUGGCGAAAUGAAAAUCGCCUUAUGGGCGUUAGAGACAAAGCAGCUAGCCGCAUGCGGGCCUACACAUUCGACUGUUGGGUCUAAGCUUGGCGCUUUUGAAUUCAGACUUGCUUGCUACCAGUGGGGCAACUCCUGGUGCUUGUAUAGCUUCUGUCUAAUCGGGCGUCGACUUGGCCUAGCAUCGUUCGGGUGUGCUACGAUAGGGCUUGUAUGUGAGUUGGUUCGCAAUGUUAAUUGGCAGUGAGUAGGUCGGCUUUCCGAACGACCC
rnacentral:rRNA from 1 species